rnacentral:rRNA from 1 species
GACGAACGCUGGCGGCGUGCUUAACACAUGCAAGUCGAGCGGUAAGGCCCUUUCGGGGUACACGGCGGCGAACGGGUGAGUAACACGUGGGUGACCUGCCCUCAGCUCUGGGAUAAGCCUGGGAAACCGGGUCUAAUACCGGAUAUGACUCCAUGACGCAUGUUGUGGGGUGGAAAGCCUUGUGCGGCUGAGGAUGGGCCCGCGGCCUAUCAGCUUGUUGGUGGGGUGAUGGCCUACCAAGGCGACGACGGGUAGCCGGCCUGAGAGGGCGACCGGCCACACUGGGACUGAGACACGGCCCAGACUCCUACGGGAGGCAGCAGUGGGGAAUCUUGCGCAAUGGGCGAAAGCCUGACGCAGCGACGCCGCGUGAGGGAUGACGGCCUCGG